AACGCACAUUGCGCCCGCCAGCAUUCUGGCGGGCAUGCCUGUCCGAGCGUCAUUUCCACCCUCAGGCCCUGCCUGGUGUUGGGGACCUGCAGCUGCUGCAGCCCCCCAAAGACAACGGCGUGCCCGCCGGGCCCCGAGCGUAGUAACACACCUCGCCUGGGAAGUCCGGCGGCGCCCUGCCGCAAGCCCAUAACUUCUAAGGUUGACCUCGGAUCAGGUAGGAAUACCCGCUGAACUUAA
rnacentral:misc_RNA from 1 species